GUCCAGCUGACGAGUCCCAAAUAGGGCGAAACGCACUUUGUCCUGGAU
rnacentral:hammerhead_ribozyme from 1 species